rnacentral:tRNA from 1 species
AAAGUGGCUCAGUUGGUAGAGCAGCUGAUUCGUAAUCAGCAGGUCGUGGGUUCGAGUCCCAUCUUUA